CCGGCGGGGUGGUGUCGCGGCGGCGGUUGCGAAUCACCGCUUAAUUGCCCGAAACGUGUUAAAAAGAAAAGGUGAAAGUCCCUUUCCGGCGUUGUAAAUAUUCCGGGGGCGGGCAGGUAGCCCGGGGCGGCGGCGCUGCUCCGCUCCCCUGAGGGUUAGCCGGCUGGGCCCGGGAGGAGCCGGUUGCCGCCACCGGCGCCCCUGAGGGCAGCCUGGCCUCGCCGCCCUCUCGGAGCGCCGGAAAGCGCGUCCCUGGGAACAAGUCGGGGGAAAGAAAUGUCCUCGGCGGGUGCAGUGACCGGUCUGCAUGAAGCAGAAGUCCGCAGGCUCAGCACACGCAGUGAAAGGAUUUCAAGCCAUUGGUAACACUCAGUACUUAACGGUUUAUCCAGGACAUUCAGAUUCAAUCCGACAAAGUAAAUACUUCUAAGAGUCAGAACAGAAAAGGCACUUACUCAUUUUGGGGAAGACACCUGGCAGCAUAAAUUAUGUUCCAGUCAACAUACCAAUUGUGCAUGGACAAUCUGUCAUGAAAAUGUGGUAACAGGUGACAGAAGUUAUGUAUUUGCAUGUUUUAGAGAGAAGAGACUAAAGAAACUGGAGGAAAGAAACUUUAAUGAGAUUCCCCAUUCAGCGACGAUGCUUCUCCUCUGGGUGAAGAUGACCUGGACAUUCCCCUCUCUGUGUUGUCAGAGCUAGAACCACUCUGACUGUGUUGAUCUGCAGAAGCAGCACUGGAAGCAGGUGGUGACUUAGUUUUCUCCUUAAAGUCUGUAAUUAUGACUGUCAGAUCUCCAACGGUAACUUCCAAAUGCUGAGCGCUACUUCGAUCCACAUUUUUCAAUCUUGGCCUAAAUAAAGUGAAUAAUCUUUAUUAAA